rnacentral:rRNA from 1 species
AUUGAACGCUGGCGGCAGGCCUAACACAUGCAAGUCGAACGGUAACAGGAAACAGCUUGCUGUUUCGCUGACGAGUGGCGGACGGGUGAGUAAUGUCUGGGAAACUGCCUGAUGGAGGGGGAUAACUACUGGAAACGGUAGCUAAUACCGCAUAACGUCGCAAGACCAAAGAGGGGGACCUUGCGGCCUCUUGCCAUCAGAUGGGCCCAGAUGGGAUUAGCUAGUAGGUGGGGUAACGGCUAACCUAGGCGACGAUCCCUAGCUGGUCUGAGAGGAUGACCAGCCAAACUGGAACUGAGACACGGUCCCGACUCCUACGGGAGGCAGCAGUGGGGAAUAAUGCACAAUGGGCGCAAGCCUGAUGCAGCCAUGCCGCGUGUAUGAAGAAGGCCUUCGGGUUGUAAAGUACUUUCAGCGGGGAGGAAGGUGUUGUGGUUAAUAACCGCAGCAAUUGACGUUACCCGCAGAAGAAGCACCGGCUAACUCCGUGCCAGCAGCCGCAGUAA